rnacentral:rRNA from 1 species
ACUCCUACGGGAGGCAGCAGUGGGGAAUAUUGCACAAUGGGCGCAAGCCUGAUGCAGCCAUGCCGCGUGUAUGAAGAAGGCCUUCGGGUUGUAAAGUACUUUCAGCAGUGAGGAAGGUGGAUAUGUUAAUAGCAUAUUCUAUUUGUACGUUAGCUGCAGAAGAAGCACCGGCUAACUCCGUGCCAGCAGCCGCGGUAAGUACGGAGGGUGCGAGCGUUAAUCGGAAUUACUGGGCGUAAAGCGCAUGCAGGUGGUUUGUUAAGUCAGAUGUGAAAGCCCGGGGCUCAACCUCGGAAUUGCAUUUGAAACUGGCAAACUAGAGUACUGUAGAGGGGGUAGAAUUUCAGGUGUAGCGGUGAAAUGCGUAGAGAUCGUGAA